UACCGGAGUGGAGUGCCAUUGCCUUAGAUAACCUAAUUUACAGGACUACAUAAACACAAUUUAAUCAGUCUGAAAGCAAGCAGAGAUGUGGUCCUAGUGCUAAUGAACACUGUAUGUAUUAUAUAUGUGUAAGCACAACUAUGAUUGCCAUUUGGCAAAUAUUCCAUGGCUAUUGUGGGCCAGAAACUGUCUUGACCUCCAGGUACUCUGGUGAGCAGCCAUUGUGGAGUUUUUUCACUAAUAAAUUAAGCGAAAUGUUCAAUAAAUAUGGAAAGAUGUCGAGGCAGAGGAUUAAAUUGCCCAGGUCUUCUGAAAGGAUAAGAAGUCCUGGAAGGGGUCUCAGGAGCACCGGUCUUUGGUUCAUCUCUCCAUUUUUAUAAAUGUGUGGUGUGGGCAUAACCACAUAAAUCCCACACAUUCCACAAUUAGAGCCUCUGGGUUCCAUCCUGAUGCUUCUGCAUCCUGUUUUGGUUCAUAGACUCACAAAUCUUCUGGCCUCAACAUGUGUGGAGAAAAGAUUAGGCCAGGAUUCUUGAACAGCUGUUGUUGCAGGCGUCUGAAAAGCUGAUGUCCACAAGCAGAGAAGGCAGAGAAUAUGCUUUCAGGAUUCAUCAAAUAACUUUGCCUGGCUAUGUGAUCAAGUUGUGGACAGCUGUGCAGAAAGCUCAGGCUGGCGAGCAGCCGUGAGUUGACUUGGUUCUUCAUUGAAUCAAGGAACUAUACUGUCUUAGGUUGAAACCCAAAGAAUGAACUUAAGUGGCUGACUNNNNNNNNNNNNNNNNNNNNNNNNNNNNNNNNNNNNNNNNNNNNNNNNNNNNNNNNNNNNNNNNNNNNNNNNNNNNNNNNNNNNNNNNNNNNNNNNNNNAAGGAACUAUACUGUCUUAGGUUGAAACCCAAAGAAUGAACUUAAGUUUGGCUGACUGUGGUCAAGUGUAAGUAUUAUCUAUUAGUCCUUUCGGCCAUAACCCCAAAUUCAAAAAUAAAGGACACUCGUAUGUGGAAUAAACCAGCAACUUAGGUAACUUUGAAUCAUAACCCAGUCUGGAGUUGAGGCAGAAGAGUGCUUCUCAAAGUGGGGGGGUAGGAGUAUGAAUUUUUCUCCUCCAGGGGACAUUUGGAGACAUUUUGGCGGGAGUGUUACUGACAUCUAGUGGGUAGAAACGGCGGGGAUUCUGCCCGACAUCCCCACGUGAAGUAUUAUGUGGUUCCUAUCUUCCUUUCCAAUUUGGAUUCCUUUUAUUUCUUUCUUCUGAUUGUUGUGCCUAGGACUUCCAAAACUAUGUUGAAUAAAAGUGAUGCAAGUGGGCAUCCUUGCCUCUGACCUUAGAGGAAAUGCUCUCAGCUUUUCACCCUUCAGUAUGACGUUAGCUGUGGGUUUGUCUUAUACAGUCUUUAUUAUAUAGCAGUACGUCCCCUCAGUAUGUAGCAUUCUACAAUGGUAUUCUAUUCAGUCAUAAAAAAAGAAUGAAAAUUCGCCAUUUGCAGCAACAAGGAUGGACUUUGAGGGCGUUAUACUAAGUGAAAUAAGAUAGAGGAAGACAAAUACAGUACGAUAUCACUUACAUGUGGAAUCUAAAAAUGACAAAGUUGUAGACAUAACAAAAAUGAAGCAGAUUCACAGAGAACAAACUAGUCCUUACCAGUGGAGAGAGGGGUAAUAGGAGUGUUGGGGAGUGGGAGGCACAAACCACUGGGUGUAACAUAGACUCAAGGAUGUACUGUACAAUACCAGGAAUAUAACCAAUAUUUGGUAAAAACUGUAAAUGGAAAGCAACUUUUUAAAACUGUAUAAAAACUAAAAAUAAAUCCAAAGUAAAAAAUAAAAGAAUUAGAGUUACCAGAACAGCAAAAACAAAUAAAUUUCUGUGGUUCAAAAUGUGCUGAAGUUGAGAAGCUCUGAGCUAGCACCAUCCUCUCAUGGGGCAACUAUUUAACGCCACUUCUCCAAGAGUUUGUGAUGCCUACUUGAAAAUUGGUUGGUGUUGCCCACUUCCAAAAUGGCUCCUGACCAAUCGUGGCAGCAUCUGCCCAGGUCCAAAAAGGCUGCAAGAGAGUCAGGAACUAGAAUGGUUUGGUCCAGGAGCCUGUUGUCACCCCGCCCCCCGACCGCAGAGCCGAUGGAAGAGGCCCAGUUGUGGACCGAACCAUAUGAGGGACCUGCGGCAGGAGUAAAGGGGAUGAUAAAGGCUAGAUC
ensembl:lncRNA